rnacentral:rRNA from 1 species
UACGUAGGUGGCAAGCGUUGUCCGGAAUUAUUGGGCGUAAAGCGCGCGCAGGCGGUCUCUUAAGUCUGAUGUGAAAUCCCGUGGCUUAACCACGGCGGUCAUUGGAAACUGGGGACUUGAGUGCAGAAGAGAAGAGCGGAAUUCCACGUGUAGCGGUGAAAUGCGUAGAGAUGUGGAGGAACACCAGUGGCGAAGGCGGCUCUUUGGUCUGUAACUGACGCUGGAGGCGCGAAAGCGUGGGGGAGCGAACAGGA